CGUGUCGCGCAUAUCUGCAUAUCAAUAAGCGGAGGAAAAGAAACUAACAAGGAUUCCCUUAGUAACGGCGAGUGAAGCGGGAAGAGCUCAAAUUUGAAAUCUUCAAGGUUCUACCUUGACGAAUUGUAGUUUAAAGAAGGUGUUUUCUGUUAGAUGAGUAGCAAAAGUUCCAUGGAAUGGGACAUCAUAGAGGGUGAGAAUCCCGUAUUUGGUUAUUCAUUCUAGCUUUGUGAUACACUUUCAAAGAGUCGGAUUGUUUGGGAAUGCAGUCCAAAAUGGGUGGUAAAUUUCAUCUAAAGCUAAAUAUUGGCGAGAGACCGAUAGCGAACAAGUACCGUGAGGGAAAGAUGAAAAGAACUUUGAAAAGAGAGUUAAACAGUACGUGAAAUUGUCAAAAGGGAAGCGUUUGACACCAGUGUUGUUUUUUCCGAAAAUCAAUUACGAAUGGCUUGAUUUUGUGUUGUAUUGACCUUAUCAGCUUUCUGCACUUUUUUCGAGUCUUUCUUAAUGCACUUUUCGGUUAACAAGUCAACAUCAAUUUCUUUUGUUGUAAAAGAGUAUUCGGAAGGUGGCUUUCUUUUCGGAGAAAGUGUUUAUAGCCCUAUACUUCUACAAUCGGAGAGAUUGAGGUCUGCAGCGUAGAUCCUUCGGGGUUAGAUACACUUGUGCUAAGUUGUAGCUUUUCAUAGACAACUUGUUGACUAUGUUUAGUCAUGCGGCUUACUCGCUUGUGCUAUUUUACCUACGCUUAGGAUGUUGACGAUCAGCUGAGCGCG
rnacentral:rRNA from 1 species